rnacentral:rRNA from 1 species
CAAUAGCGUAUAUUUAAGUUGUUGCAGUUAAAAAGCUCGUAGUUGGAUUUCUGUUGAGAGCAGCGCGUCUACCUUUUGGGUAAGUAUGUUGCUUGGUCUCGGCAUCUUCGUGGAAAACGUUUCUGCGCUUGAUUGCGUGGGGCGGGGUUCACGACUUUUACUUUGAGGAAAUUAGAGUGUUCACGGCAGGCAUACGCCUUGAAUAUAUUAGCAUGGAAUAAUAACAUAGGGCUUACGGCCUAUUUUGUUGGUUUCUAGGCUGCAGGCAAUGAUUAAUAGGGACAAUUGGGGGCAUUCGUAUUAACGCGUCAGAGGUGAAAUUCUUGGAUUGCGUUACGACGAACUACUGCGAAAGCAUUUGCCAAGGAUGUUUUCAUUGA